rnacentral:rRNA from 1 species
CCUACGGGUGGCAGCAGUGAGGAAUAUUGGUCAAUGGGCGCGAGCCUGAACCAGCCAAGCCGCGUGAGGGAAGACGGUCCUAUGGAUUGUAAACUUCUUUUGUAGGGGGGCAAAAGCCGCUACGCGUGGCGUUCCGAGAGUAUCCGACGAAAAAGCAUCGGCUAACUCCGUGCCAGCAGCCGCGGUAAUACGGAGGAUUCGAGCGUUAUCCGGAUUUAUUGGGUUUAAAGGGUGCGCAGGCGGUGGAUAAAGUCAGCGGUAAAAUUGCGGGGCUCAACUUCUUAGUGCCGUUGAAACUGGUUGGCUUGAGAGAAGGAGAGGUAGGCGGAAUGCAUGGUGUAGCGGUGAAAUGCAUAGAUAUCACGCAGAACUCCGAUUGCGAAGGCAGCAUACCAGGGCUCAACUGACGCUGAGGCACGAAAGUGUGGGUAGCGAACAGGAUUAGAUACCCUAGUAGUC